AGAGUUUGAUCCUGGCUCAGAACGAACGCUGGCGGCGUGGAUAAGACAUGCAAGUCGAACGCUGAUUUCAGGGUAGCAAUAUCUUGAGGUCGGAGUGGCGCAAGGGUGCGUAACACGUGGGUAAUUUGCCGUGAAGUUGGGGAUAACUCGCUGAAAGGCGAGCUAAUACCGAAUGUGACAGCCGGGGGGCAUCCUCUGGUUUUCAAAGUUGGGGACCGUAAGGCCUGACGCUUCACGAUAAGCCCGCGGCCUAUCAGCUAGUUGGUGAGGUAACGGCUCACCAAGGCUAAGACGGGUAGCUGGUCUGAGAGGACGACCAGUCACACUGGAACUGAGACACGGUCCAGACACCUACGGGUGGCAGCAGUCGAGAAUUUUUCUCAAUGGGCGAAAGCCUGAAGGAGCGACGCCGCGUGGGGGAUGAAGGGCUUCGGCCCGUAAACCCCUGUCAUUUGCGAACAAACCUUACGAUCUAACACAUCGUGAGCUGAUUGUAGCGAAAGAGGAAGGGACGGCUAACUCUGUGCCAGCAGCCGCGGUAAUACAGAGGUCCCAAGCGUUGUUCGGAUUCACUGGGCGUAAAGGGUGCGUAGGUGGCGGGGUAAGUUUGAUGUGAAAUCUCGGAGCUUAACUCCGAAACUGCAUUGAAUACUAUCUUGCUGGAGGGUUGGAGGGGGGGCUGGAAUUCUCGGUGUAGCAGUGAAAUGCGUAGAUAUCGAGAGGAACACCAGUGGCGAAGGCGAGUCCCUGGACAACUCCUGACACUGAGGCACGAAAGCUAGGGGAGCAAACAGGAUUAGAUACCCUAGUAGUCC
rnacentral:rRNA from 1 species